GACGAACGCUGGCGGCGUGCUUAACACAUGCAAGUCGAACGGAAAGGCUCCAGCUUGCUGGAGUACUCGAGUGGCGAACGGGUGAGUAACACGUGGGUAAUCUGCCCUGCACUCUGGGAUAAGCCUGGGAAACUGGGUCUAAUACUGGAUAUGACCUUUCUCCUUAUGGGGUUUGUUGGAAAGUUUUUCGGUGUAGGAUGAGCCCGCGGCCUAUCAGCUUGUUGGUGGGGUGAUGGCCUACCAAGGCGACGACGGGUAGCCGGCCUGAGAGGGUGAUCGGCCACAUUGGGACUGAGAUACGGCCCAGACUCCUACGGGAGGCAGCAGUGGGGAAUAUUGCACAAUGGGCGGAAGCCUGAUGCAGCGACGCCGCGUGCGGGAUGACGGCCUUCGGGUUGUAAACCUCUUUCAGCAGGAACGAAGCGUAAGUGACGGUACCUGCAGAAGAAGCACCGGCUAACUAUGUG
rnacentral:rRNA from 1 species